UACGUAGGCAGCGAGCGUUGUUCGGAAUUACUGGGCGUAAAGAGUGUGUAGGCGGUGCUCUAAGUUCGGUGUGAAAUCUCCCGGCUUAACUGGGAGGGUGCGCCGGAAACUGGAGUGCUCGAGCGUGGGAGAGGAAAGCGGAAUUCCUGGUGUAGCAGUGAAAUGCGUAGAUAUCUGGAAGAACACCAAAGGCGAAGGCAGUGUCCUGGGUGGUCGCUGACGCUGAGAGGCGAAAGCCAGGGGAGCGAACGGG
rnacentral:rRNA from 1 species